ensembl:lncRNA
CUGAGUACCGCCAGCAGCCUCCUCUGGCCCAGGGCAGGGGAGGUGGGUGCACGCUUCUCUGUCUCCUCGACUGCUGGGACCGUUGAGCACUUCCAGGCUCAUGACUGUCUCUUCCCAUGUCUAGGUCUUUGUCAGGAAGGAUGUGGAUGCGGAGGACAAGCAGCAGGAGGCUGGGAGUCCCCGGGCUGGUGUUUUCUGCUCUCCAGUGGACAGAGGUUCCCCCUUCUAUGCGCUGGCAGGAUCCCCAGUGUCAUCACCCCGGAAAGAGACCCCCAAGGGCAAAGAGCCGGUCGUGGCGCCAAGAUGCAGUGGGCGAAGCGGCACGGGAGCAGUCCCCCUCCUCGACCUGAGCCCUCUGGUAGCCCAGUUCAACCGGGAGAUGAUGCAGGCAGAGAGCUGGGUGCGAGGCAAGCUGCGGGACCUGAAGGAUGGCUGUGACCUCCAGGACUGGGAGGAGGUGGCUCAAACCCUACAGCGGGAUAUGAAGGAUUUUGAGAACACGCUGAUAAAGCUCAACCAGAUGGGUGAGCAACUGAUGUGGCGGGCAAGCCCCAGCGCUGAGGCAGUGCGGCGGCAGCUGCUGGCCCUGCGGGACCAGUGGAAGCUCCUGAAGCAGACGGCCGCCAGCCAGAGCAAAGCCCUGGGGGGGCUGCGGAGCCUGCAGGACUUCAACAAGAAAGCUGAGCAGCUGGAGGCAUGGAUCAGGCACAAGGAGGAGAAGCCCUCCCUGGCAGCCCUCCUGCAGGAAAGCCCAGACAAGAUCCAGCUCACCCGCCGCAUUCUUGACUUGAAGCAGGAAGAGCAGCAGUUCCAGAGUCUGCACAAAGAGCUGAAUAGCCUGGCCCAGAAGCUGGAGAAACAAGGCAAAAGUGAGAGCAGGAGCAUCUCAGCCCGGCGCAAGCACCUCAACAAAACGUGGCUGCGGCUGCAGGGGACCCUGAAGGAGCACCAUGAGGCUCUGCAGCUGGCUCUGGAGGUGGCUGCCUUCCUCCAGCAAGCAGAUACCCUGCUCGGGGCCAUCCACACCAAGCAGAGGAGCAUCUGCGGUGUAGGGAAGCCAGGAGAGGGCGAUCCAUGCCGGGAUCGGGAUGUCAGGGACUUAGCCAGCCAGGUGAUGAUGCUGGAUGUGACCGUGUCCCAGCUCCUCAGCCUGCAGCCCAGCCUGGCAGCCCGAGUCACCCCCAAGCACCGAGACAUCAAGGAGAGCUGGGCACAGCUCCAGCAGGUGCUGAGGACAGAGAAGGCUCCAGCGCUGGGAAGCAGUUCCCUGGCAGGCGAAGCUGUGGCUCCAAAUGUGGCACCCCAAGGAGACGAUAGUGGCCGUGGAGCCAUAGGAAAGGAAGCAAAAGACAAAUGGGUGCUGAAGGACAUGCCGGGGAAGAUGGUGGAGCACAGGACAGGCAAGGAGAGCAGCCCUGGCUCCCCAGCGGCAGGGCAGCCUCUUCAUGGUGGGGACAGCAAAAGAAGGAGAAGAGAGGCAGAGUCUGAGUGGGGGAUACAGCAGCCAGACGCCCGGGUACAGGACGUCUGUCGGGCAGCGAACACGGUAAUGUCUCCCCAAGAGCCCCUUUUGCUCCCAGCCCAACCAAGCGAACCAGUGUCGAGGGGGACCCCCUUCCCAACCCCCUCCCACUGCUUAUGGGCAUGCAUGUUUGUGCACUCACACCCGUCCCUGGUCUGGGCACUAAUGCACCAUGUCUCCCGGCUCCUCAGCAGACUGUGUCCCUGCCAAAGGAUAGCAUGGGUCCUGGAGUCCCCCCGUGUCCAGCAGAGGAUGUUGAGAGCCUGGAGGCAGCACAGACGCAGCGGGAUCCCCUGGACCUCGGCACCAGGGCUGUGCUCCAGGUGA